GGCGUAAUUUAAACUCUUACCAAUAACCCCACCCAGUGCACCUGAAGGGAGGCAGAUACAGCUCCACUCCAAAACAAUAACAAAAGUCUACACAUGUGCUGCUAACCUAGCAGACCUCUGCACAUGACCUGAGCAAGGCAUGCCAACACCCUUCUGUGA